AUGUGUCUCAUCAAUGAUAUGGUUCAAAACAUUGUCAUCAACCCAUUGCUGGAUGAACCCACAAGCUUGACGAUGAAGUACCUUGCACUGACCUUCCUCAAUGCCCUCCGGCAUCUCAGUGGAGAACACUGGCUUCCAGUAUUCUUUCACAUACAACAAGUCCUCCAUCUUACCCUUCCAUGCUUGAUAAUUUGUACCAUUCAAAGAUAUCAUCCUGCUGGUAUUCACUUCCAUCUUUCACCACAAGAAACUCAGCAAUUUGCACAAGCAAACCAAGGCUCUGAUACCACUUUGUUGGGGCUAGACAGCAAUAAUGCGCUGCAUAAAUUCACCGACACGGCAAAUAUGCACACUACACUGCCCCCUCCACUUGUGAUGAACUUUGAGGGCAGCUUCAACCAACAAGUAAGCAGCGGAAUAACACUAACAACAUGCACAUGUGACACAGGAUUUAACGUGGAAAAACCUCCUCAACUUGAGGAGUAA
rnacentral:rRNA from 1 species